rnacentral:rRNA from 1 species
GAGUUUGAUCGUGGCUCAGAUUGAACGCUGGCGGCACGCUUAACACAUGCAAGUCGGACGGCAGCACGGGUGCUUGCACCUGGUGGCGAGUGGCGGACGGGUGAGUAAUGCUUAGGGAUCUGGCGCGAAGCGGGGGACAACACGGGGGAAACUCGUGCUAAUACCGCAUAAGCUCUGAGGAGUAAAGAUGGCCUCUAUUUAUAAGCUAUCGCUUUGCGAUGAACCUAAGUCGGAUUAGCUAGUUGUGGGUAAGGCUACCAAGGCGACGAUCCGUAGCUGGUCUGAGAGGACGAUCAGCCACACUGGGACUGAGACACGGCCCAGACUCCUACGGGAGGCAG